UUCUCAUAUAUCCAAGUUUCCAUCACUAGAUUAGGGAAUACUGGAUUCUGUUCAAAGUUUAUUCAAUUUGUAGAUUAAGAUUUUGUUUAUUUCGUCUAAUUUGUCUCAAAUUUAGCUCUCUGUUGUGGUGAUACUUCAAGCCUCGGUUUUUCCCUACAAGGAUGAAAAGUUUUUGCUUGAGGUAAUGUUGUUCUUUCUUUGGAAAUGCACCUUACUAGCUCUAAGCGAGAGCUGUUUAUUCCCCCUUCAUUUUCUUCCUUUACCGUUUAGUUUCAUUAAAUAUGGAUUUUGGGUUAUUGAUUUUCUUCUCUGAGCUCAGUUCUUAUAAGUUUUGUUUAAAUGAUUUGGAGUCCAAUUUCGCUACUGGCGUAACUCUUGAACUGAAGAAAGAUUGGUGACCACGACGACUGAUUCAACCCCUGCUUCGUGUGAAAAAAGAAGAAGACGAAAAUUGAUGUGCAACAAUUAAAGUUUUUUAAGGCAUUGCAAAGUGGAAUUACUAUUAGGGAACAAUUAAACUAUCCAACAGUAAGUGGACCUACAUCAAAUUCUGAAUCAAACUGUAGUUACUUCAAGUGGGCUACUGCUUCAACAUUUAAGGAAAAAGGAAAGUGAAGUCUCCACUGCAUAUAUUCGACUAAAUGAUAAACGAUUAAAACUUUGCCAUAAUGAGAGCUCAGGUUAGUUAAAAGUUCGAAACUUUCUCACUCGGAGUACAUGUUAUCUCCACAUUUUUUGUAUUUUUUCUCAGCAGGUAACCUUCUAUUUCAACUUUGACGUGAAAAGUUGUAGCAUCUUUUUACUUGAUAAAUUGCAGAAUCAGACCACAAGUAACUUCGGAUUGAGGUGAAUUUAGAAGCUGGUUUUUAGCUAGAAGGAUGGUGAUUAGUUAUACGAAGAUUCUGUUUCUUUCCAAGCUCUUUGUUUGCAUGGAGAAAUGAUAUCUUUGCUUUGAUCUGUUUGAAUCUUUGUCCAUACUUGUGGACGCACUGCUCAAAUUUUGUGGAGAGAUGGCGGCGGAAAAAUUUAUAAUAAAUUGUAUCAGUGUGCAUUCAAAAUUUGGACCUGAAAAUAUUUUGGCGCUGGAAUUUUCAUUGAUUACUCUUUUGUUGCAUAACAAUAUACUGCUAUUAUACUUA